GACGAACGCUGGCGGCGUGCUUAACACAUGCAAGUCGAACGAUGAUCUCCCGCUUGCGGGGGUGAUUAGUGGCGAACGGGUGAGUAAUACGUGAGUAACCUGCCCUUGACACUGGGAUAAGCCUGGGAAACAGGGUCUAAUACUGGAUACUACUUCCUGCCGCAUGGUGGGGGGUGGAGAGGGUUUUACUGGUUUUGGAUGGGCUCACGGCCUUUCAGCUUGUUGGUGGAGUAAUGGCUCACCAAGGCGACGACGGGUAGCCGGCCUGGGAGGGUGACCGGCCACACUGGGACUGGGACAAGGGCCAGGCUCCCACGGGGGGCAGGGGUGGGGAAUAAUGCACAAUGGGCGGAAGCCUGAUGCAGCGAAGCCGCGGGGGGGAAGACGGCCUUCGGGUUGGAAACCUUUUUCAGCAGGGAAGAAGCCACAAGUGACGGUACCUGCAGAAGAAGCGCCGGCUAACUACGUG
rnacentral:rRNA from 1 species